ensembl:snoRNA
AUGCAUCUUAGAACAUCCAGGAGACAGUCUUCUAAAAUACCAGUGAGUGGCAAGAUAUGAGUAAAUUCCACAGGAAAAGGAAGGCAGUCCAAAGGGCUGUGCUUCUCCUGUGGCUCAGUGUUAUUCAUAGCUGUGACAUCU